UGAAGGUUGAGUAACAUCAACUGGAGGACCGAACCGACUAAUGUUGAAAAAUUAGCGGAUGACUUGUGGCUAGGGGUGAAAGGCCAAUCAAACUCGGAGAUAGCUGGUUCUCCCCGAAAGCUAUUUAGGUAGCGCCUCGGACGAAUACUACUGGGGGUAGAGCACUGUUAAGGCUAGGGGGUCAUCCCGACUUACCAACCCUUUGCAAACUCCGAAUACCAGUAAGUACUAUCCGGGAGACACACGGCGGGUGCUAACGUCCGUCGUGGAGAGGGAAACAACCCAGACCGCCAGCUAAGGUCCCAAAGUAUUGCUAAGUGGGAAACGAUGUGGGAAGGCUCAGACAGCUAGGAUGUUGGCUUAGAAGCAGCCAUCAUUUAAAGAAAGCGUAAUAGCUCACUAGUCGAGUCGGCCUGCGCGGAAGAUGUAACGGGGCUAAGCAAUACACCGAA
rnacentral:rRNA from 1 species